ensembl:misc_RNA
UUCAGAGAACUGGCAAGUUAAGUCCUGUAUUUACCCACAGAGGAUGCAGGGCAAAGGCAAGUGUCUCUGUUCCACAGUAUUGAUGAGUCUCAGCCCUGACCUGAAGAGACCCAGCCAGCAGGGAUGAGGAGGUAGUUUCCUCUCCAUUAAUUCCUUAGGGGUU